rnacentral:ncRNA from 1 species
ACAACGGCUCUUUUAAGAGCCACUCACUACCACAAAGAGUUAACCU